rnacentral:tRNA from 1 species
AAGUUUGAAGUGAAUAAUCACAGUUAAUUUCGACCUAACCCUUGGUAUAAAAUAUACCCAAACUUA